rnacentral:rRNA from 1 species
GACGAACGCUGGCGGCGUGCCUAACACAUGCAAGUCGAGCGAAUGAAGUUUCUUCGGGAACGGAUUUAGCGGCGGACGGGUGAGUAACACGUGGGCAACCUGCCUCAUAGAGGGGAAUAGCCUUCCGAAAGGGAGAUUAAUACCGCAUAAGAUUGUAGUACCGCAUGGUACAGCAAUUAAAGGAGCAAUCCGCUAUGAGAUGGGCCCGCGGCGCAUUAGCUAGUUGGUGAGGUAACGGCUCACCAAGGCGACGAUGCGUAGCCGACCUGAGAGGGUGAUCGGCCACAUUGGGACUGAGACACGGCCCAGACUCCUACGGGAGGCAGCAGUGGGGAAUAUUGCACAAUGGGGGAAACCCUGAUGCAGCAACGCCGCGUGAGUGAUGACGGCCUUCGGGUUGUAAAGCUCUGUCUUCAGGGACGAUAAUGACGGUA